rnacentral:lncRNA from 7 species
AAAAUCCAGUACUAGCACUGAGAUGAUGCCCUUGCUCUGCUCAGAAGCACAGCUACGUUUGAGUUUACGACUCAAAGCUUCCUGCUGGAAGUUUUCAAGAUGUUCUGCCCUUUUCUCCCAGAAGAGGACAAAGCUAAAGCAAGACAUGGGCUUUAUAGCUUCCGAAGGGCUCUGGCCAUGAAAACAGCACAGAGUAUUGUCAAGCUCAAGGUGUAAAGCCAAGCUCCUCAGGCACAAGGGAGAUACAAAACACAAGACAAAGCCCUGAGCCCAGAGAAACCACCUCUACUGAAGACGGCAGCAAACUUGCAGCUAAUUGCACUAUCAAGAAAACGGUAUUAAAGAGGAGAGACGGGACAGAACAGAAACACGGAAGAAUUCCAUUCAGUGCUUUGUAUAAAGGUCUGUCCUAACAGCGCUCUGUCCUAACAGGGCCAUAACAGAAGUCGCAGAAACACAUUGCAUGUGGACGGAGAAACCCACUGAGAACAUUCUCUACCGCUCCAUAUCCAGAAUUCCUUCACGUUUGCACCACCUGAAGUACUUGAAAUGCUCCUUAGUCAUGUAUUUUAGCGAGAGCAAAUACGUAAGAGCUGUCUUGAAGUACCACCGAGUCCUGAGCGCUCUUUCACAAAGGAGGGAAAACGUAUCCUUCUACCUUCGGGGCAGGACUGAAGGGAAAGUAAAAGAGGUGGAGAAGGAGCCAAUAGGCCCUAAAGGACUAGAGGCUGUUCUCCAGCAGCCUGCCUCCGUGGCUUCCAGAGCAUGCGUGAGCCCCUGGUCUGUCUCACACCUUGCAGCUGUCAGUGGCAAGUUUGCUCACCGUUUUCACAGGUACACAGAAAAAUCCCAGAAGUCGUGGAUAUUUUGCUCUCCUGCAUGGACAUUUCAGUCACAGUUCUCACCAUCAGAGGCUGGUCCCCAUGCAGUGCUUACAUGCAGAGUGCGAAUGUCAUACCAUGGGAGUUAUGGGCCUGACUUGGGGUGGGUUGGAGCAAUGCUAUUCAGGAGGGCACUGAAGUAUCAAAAAGGAAGGAAGAAAAAAAUGAUGAGAAGAGUCAAUCAGACAGACAGACCGGGAGUUACAAAAGACCGUGUCAGUAGCUAGCAGGUGUUUCACCAGCAGGAGUGAAAAACUGCUGAGAGUCCACUGUGAGCAAAAUGACCUGCAGAGGUUCUGGGCUGAAGAAAUCAGGCUUGCAACAUUAACCAGUUCCACAAUGCCUGGUGUCAGCACGUCUGCAGAGCACCUUUGAUCUAGAACUGGUACUCAGUUUCUGCUGCUUGUGGUGACCUGGGAGGGCUAUGGCAUUAAGCUGUGGUGUUUGGGGGAAUCUCACUGGCAGGAUUUCAGCCUGAAUUUUGCAGCUGCAUGCACUGAGAAAACACUUGGCACCACCACACCUUUAUCAUACCAGGUUAUGAGGUAUACAUAGUGUAUUUUUUCCAUUGCAUAAAUGUGUUUGUCAGUCU